GAUGAACGUUGGCGGCGUGCCUAACACAUGCAAGUCGAACGAUAGUCGCAAGACUAUAGUGGCGCACGGGUGAGUAACACGUAGCUUACCAGCCUCUCAGCGCGGGAUAACGGCUCGAAAGAGGUGCUAAUACCGCACAAGCUCACGGGAUGUAGAGACUAGUGAGAAAAGGUGCAAAUCACUGAGAGACGGGGCUGCGGCCCAUCAGCUAGNGGUGCGGUAACGGCGCACCAAGGCGACGACGGGUA
rnacentral:rRNA from 1 species